UCGAAGAAACUCCUUCCCGAAUUAUACAUCUAGGGUUUUGCCAUCUGUAGGGGCAUUUACUGUCCAGUGUGCUAGCUGUUUCAAAUGGCGGCUCAUACCUACAAAGGAGAAGUAUGAAGAAAUAAGGGAACACAUAUUGGAGCAGCCCUUCUAUUGUGAAACAGCUCGUGAGUGGCGUCCAGAGGUAUCAUGUGAUGAUCCACCUGACAUCACUCAAGAUGGAAGCAGGCUGUGGGCAAUUGAUAGACCUAACAUUGCUCAGCCUCCUCCAGGGUGGGAACGGCUUUUAAGAAUCAGAGCAGAAGGAGGCACCAAGUUUGCUGAUGUGUAUGUCUUGCAUUUCUUUCACUACUCAUUUUACUGUUAAUACUAAAAUACAAGUGAUGCUUUCCUUUUAAGCUAUGAAACUCGGCAUCGAUGUGCAAAAUAAAAGCCGUGGUUCUUUAAUUUUUUUUCUUUAUCAUGAUUUACAAUGGCGGCUCAUACCUACAAAGGAGAAGUAUGAAGAAAUAAGGGAACACAUAUUGGAGCAGCCCUUCUAUUGUGAAACAGCUCGUGGGUGGCGUCCGGAGGUAUCGUGUGAUGAUCCACCUGACAUCACUCAAGAUGGAAGCAGGCUGUGGGCAAUUGAUAGACCUAACAUUGCUCAGCCUCCUCCAGGCUGGGAACGGCUUUUAAGAAUCAGAGCAGAAGGAGGCACCAAGUUUGCUGAUGUGUAUGUCUUGCAUUUCUUUCACUAUUCGUUUUACUGUUAAUACUAAAAUACAAGUGAUGCUUUCCUUUUAAGCUAUGAAACUCGGUAUCGAUGUGCAAAACAAAAGCCGUGGUUCUUUAAUUUUUUUUCUUUAUCAUGAUUUACA
rnacentral:lncRNA from 1 species